rnacentral:rRNA from 1 species
UACAGAGGUCUCAACCGUUGUUCGGAUUCAUUGGGCGUAAAGGGUGCGUAGGCGGUCGUGCAAGUCGGAUGUGAAAUCUCAGGGCUCAACCCUGAAACUGCAUCCGAUACUGCGCGGCUAGAGUGCUGGAGGGGAGACUGGAAUUUACGGUGUAGCAGUGAAAUGCGUAGAUAUCGUAAGGAAGACCAGUGGCGAAGGCGAGUCUCUGGACAGCAACUGACGCUGAGGCACGAAGGCCAGGGGAGCAAACGGG